CUGGCAAGUCCAUUCCUUUGCUGGCAUUAGAGCCUACUUAUGUCUUCAGAAUUCCAGUGUACGCUGAAGACCAAAUGAGACAUCCAGCCUCAUGGAUUGAACAACUACUGAAGUUUGAGCCUUCAGUUGGUAAACAGCCAUUGUUGGAUUAGUUGGACCACCACCGGCUCUAGGCCAAAGCAGCGUGGAAGUUUGUUGGUCUAAAUACAGUGCUGUCUGGCGGGUGGAGACAUGCCCGGAAACACUGAGCAUAGCAUGCCGUGCCCUCCUGGCUCGAGCAGCCUAACCUCUCUUCAGAGAAAGCCAGCCCCAAUGGCAGGGUUCUUGGAUAAUUGGGGUUGCGCAUCAGAAUGUGUGACCCCAGAAGAGUUGAUUGCCAGCCCUAUCCGUUUCAAAUAAAAAUGGAGAGCCACUCAAGGCCCUGG
rnacentral:lncRNA from 1 species